GUCUCUGCCCUGUUAACACCAGCAGCUGAGAGGCGAGGACCUCUUUGUCAUGAACCUGGAGGAUGGCCUGAGGAGAUGAACGUGGACAAACGUACGUCAUUUCUAUAAAAACCAGCAGAAACGCCCACGACAUAAACAUGCAGAUAUACAGGUGCAACGCUCAAAUACACUCCAGCUCACCUUUUCCUCCUUCCAAUAACUUUUUGACAGAAAGCCUCGGGAGGGGCUCAGCCUGCAGCGAUGACACUUUGGAGGUUGGCGUGUUUGCCCUGCUGUGAAGUAGUGUCUGAAGUAUGAGACAGUCCUCCAGCUGUUUCAGCAGGAGCUUCCAGUACUCGGUGUCAAGAGAGAGGGCCUCCCAGGAGUCGGUGAGGGCCUCGGAAUCAGCACCCAAGACUGUUUGGGAAAACUAACAGAAAACGCACUGGUGAUACUCUGGCAAAGAAUGUGGAUCGACAUUAACUUGAAUGAGCUUUUAACUUGAGAGCUGAUGACAGACCGUCAGGAUACAUCACAAAGCAGCACACAGAUGCUGGUUCACAAAUGUUACUACUUGACUGGGAUGGAACAGGAGGGACAGGAGACGGCAGACUCUGGGGCAACAGUGAGUUGGACUCACUGCUUCGACAUCUGCAAGAAGAUCUGCAGUAACGCCCGAUUCAUCCAGUGUGUACUUCAACACGUUUGCAGGGCCAUCCUUGACAAGGGCCCGGGUCUCUUCUGUCAGUACCGGAUACUGGUAUCUCUUCAAAAUGCACUCACCAACAUACAAAACGUAUCUCAAACUUCUUCUCUUUCCAUUAUUAUAAACAUCUUAAGCCAGUACUCUUAAAUUUAGCAUAGAAACUAUACUCAGACCGACAGUGUUAAGUGAACGUCUACAGGCCCAUUUAAGUGACUCAUCCAAUUAAAUGCAACGUCCCCUAGAAAUAAAUUAUUUGAUCUACCAUGAGAUACGAGAUUUUUAAAAUAAAUUUGAGUGUUCAAGAGAUGAGGAGAAACCACAAAGCAAAAGGGUCAAUAGGAAACUUUUAUGUGUCAUUCAACACUACACCCCCUAAAACAACUUCUGUUUAUAAAAGAGGGGGCAGAGGUUAUAAAUGCAACCGCAGAACUUGAGAGCUACAACAAACCUCAGAAAUAACGCAGUCUAACCCUGACCUCCUGCAGACGGAACCAAAGCAGGAGAUACAUGUUUAAGGGACUUACCACACACGAGGGGUAAGACCUCUGCCCUCCACCUGCAGGACUUUACCCCUCAUGCCAUGAGGUGGCGGCUCAGCUCAAAUACGCAUGUCAUCUGAAUAAACAAGUUAAGGGCAGCACCCCUCACUCCCAACAAGACAAAUAAGAACCUGCUGGGCACACAUUUCAAAUUCCAGAUGUUCCGUAACACUGAAGACACCGCAGCCCCGACGCAGGCUGGACAGGGACAGACCCAGCCUAUCCCAACAUGGGCGCGCCCCUGCCCACUUACUUUCUUCUCGGUCAGACUGUUCGAGAUCUGUGCGGCAACAGAAUGGCCGACGUGUGCAGACAGCAGGGCGGCCCCGUUGUUCUCAGACUGAACACAAGCCGUCCGCAUCUGCUGCCACCACGGGGACACAGACUGGGAGUCCCAGGUCUCGUCGAUGGCCACUGCAGGCAAAAAGAGAAAGUUAAACAAGAGACUCGGAGCUGGUCAAUUUUUUCUGGUCCAAUCUUUACAUCAAAUGUAAUGCAGAAGCUAAAUUCCCCAGUUAUGCACUGGUAGAUUUCUGAAUGACUCAGAAAACAAAUCCAUAACUUCUCUUAUCAGAAUACUUAUAUCCCAUUUAUUUAGGCUGCCUUUAGUGGUCUUGCUUCUGAAUCAACUGUAACUCUGUGGAAUAUUUUCAUCAUUGCUGAAAACUACUAUUGAAUUUUUUUUUAAGUUUUUACUUAUUUUGAGAGAAAGCAAGAGUACAAGCAGGGGAGGGGCAGAGAGAGAGGGAGAGAAAGAAGCCCAAGCAGGUUCUGCACUGUCAGCACAGAGCCCGAUGCGGAGCUUGAACUCACGAACCCUGAGAUCCUGACCUGAGCUGAAACCAAGAGUCGGAUACUUAACUGACUGAGCCACCCAGGUGCCCCACUACUACUGAAUGUUUUGAUGUAACGGAUUAUUAUUCUAAUGAGGCCAAAAAUAAUUUAAAAAAUGACCUCCACCAAAGACCAUAUGACUUACCUCAAUGAAUUAAGAAAACGCAUUGUACACAUCACAUUACUUUUGAUGACACAAAAUAUAAAUUUAAUUUCCAUAAAGCAUGCUUUGAACUCACUGAGAGCUAUUCAUACAUAAAAGAAUCUCUAGAGAAACGUUUUGUACACUGUAGUCUCCUUUUAUUUCGAGAAAGCAUCCUCCUUUCCCAGCUUUGUGGUUUUCAAAUGGUAAUUAAUCUUCAUUUGCAAAAGCAGCAGCCUGCAUCUCAGGGCCUGGGGAACCACGGUUUCCACCGGCAUCUACCUUACCUCUCAUCUUGCUCAGGAGGGACAGCAUCGUGUGAAGACAGCACACAGACUGCGGUUUAUCCAAAAUAUCUUUUUCCUUGGAAAGCCAAACACUUAGCAGCAGAGCCUGAAAUCAAAUUUAAAUAAUUUUCAGUAAAAUAAAUAAACAAAAGGUUGCAGUUUUCAAGAGAGCACAUGUGCGUAUAUGAGCGAUUCAGUCCUUCCGAGGGAGAAAGAAGUGGUUGCUUAUUGUAUCACAUAACAUGAGGGACAGAAAAGCUGCCUUGUCUACUUAAGAGAUUCUCUAUCAUCUGUCAGAUAACUAAAUUCCACCGAUUCCAUCUCUUCUUUGGGUUAAGCAUUGCCUUCCAGGUUGAGCCUUGAUUACGGAGGACAUUACCAGAAAGGUCACUACCAAGUUAGCAUAGAUCGCUGUGGAUUGGUGAGAAGCCACUCAGCCGACUGGAGGAAAGGAAGGAUCUGGGGCUGUGGACCUUACCCCACAUUGGCCACGAGGCACUGUGGACUUGGCAAUGGUGAACAGACAUGUACAACUAUCAGAUUCUAGUCUUUAAAAAAGGCAUGAGAAACAGACUUUAAGCAAAAACACCUAAAUCAACAUAAGUGACUUUUAAGAUGCCUAUGAACCAGCAUACCUACUGAAAACUCAAGUAUUUGAAGAUGUAUAAAAUUUGUACACAGAUAAUUCUGAGAUAAUGAGAAGUUCAAAGGCACAGCACCACACCUGUCGGUACUGGUGUUUGUGAAAAGCCUGGACCUUCAUGU